rnacentral:rRNA from 1 species
UCAUGAGUGAAGAAGGCCUUUGGGUUGUAAAGCUCUUUUAGUGAGGAAGAUAAUGACGGUACUCACAGAAGAAGUCCUGGCUAACUCCGUGCCAGCAGCCGCGGUAAUACGGAGAGGGCUAGCGUUAUUCGGAAUUAUUGGGCGUAAAGGGCGCGUAGGCUGGUUAAUAAGUUAAAAGUGAAAUCCCGAGGCUUAACCUUGGAAUUGCUUUUAAAACUAUUAAUCUAGAGAUUGAAAGAGGAUAGAGGAAUUCCUGAUGUAGAGGUAAAAUUCGUAAAUAUUAGGAGGAACACCAGUGGCGAAGGCGUCUAUCU